GACGAACGCUGGCGGCGUGCUUAACACAUGCAAGUCGAACGGAAAGGCCCUGCUUUCGUGGGGUGCUCGAGUGGCGAACGGGUGAGUAACACGUGAGUAACCUGCCCUUGACUUUGGGAUAACUUCAGGAAACUGGGGCUAAUACCGGAUAGGAGCUCCUGCUGCAUGGUGGGGGUCGGAAAGUUUCGGCGGUUGGGGAUGGACUCGCGGCUUAUCAGCUUGUUGGUGGGGUAGUGGCUUACCGAGGCUUUGACGGGUAGCCGGCCUGAGAGGGUGACCGGCCACAUUGGGACUGAGGGACGGCGCAGACUCCUACGGGGGGCAGCAGUGGGGAGUAUUACACAAUGAGCGGAAGCCUGAUGCAGCAGCGCCGCGUGCGGGAUGACGGCCUUCGGGUUGUAAACCGCUUUCGCCUGUGACGAAGCGUGAGUGACGGUAAUAGGUAAAGAAGCACCGGCUAACUACGUG
rnacentral:rRNA from 1 species